GAGCCGGUAGCUCAGUCGGUAGAGCAUCGCCCUUUUAAGGCGAGGGUCCUGGGUUCGUGUCCCAGCCGGCUCACCA
rnacentral:tRNA from 1 species